UGGAAAUGUACCGUGAAAGUGACGAAAGUGCAUUGCGAAAUUAAUGGCUACCGCGUAAAAGUUUGAACCGGACUAGCAAAGGGGGAUGAAAACUGCAUUCGGUCGUUGGAUCUGAUCGCGAUUAACGUCUUGUUUACACGGUCCUGGUCAGAGGACUCGUCGGAGCGUUUAAGGACACCCACCGUUGGCCGAACGACACGUCGACGGUUUAGUUUCUGGCGGAAUGUUUGCUGUGGAUGGCGUCCCGGCGCCCUGGCCAGCUCAUCAACCCCUCGGACGUUCGGUGAUUUUCGAGGAAAACGGAAUUGCUCGGCGAUUGUUUCGACACCGGAGACUUCGAACACGCAACAGCACGUCCAUUUCCAUCAGGAAUGAAUUUACUAACUACUGUGCGGGGAUCGUAAAUUGUCGAUGAAUCGAAUUACCUGCCUCGAAACACACGUAUUAUCAUCGUUGUCCAGCGAAGGUCCACGCAACCCGGAUAUUCAAAAAACGAUGAAACUUUGGAGAUAUAUAGAACCACCGUGUAGCAGCUACUAUCGUAGGCAGUACAACGUGUUCAGUACGUGUUUUGUGGGAGUUUGCUUAGCACGAGGUUGGGGAUGUUGCUGGUUUAUUGCUACUCACGGACCGUUUUGUCGUACCCCGUGAAGAGGACACCGAGAGACACAGUACAUCGGAAUCACCGUUAACGAGUCGUGGAGGAUGUGGGAGCCCC